GGUGACCCACAGCCUCCCCAGCCACCACCCUCCUCCCUCUCUUCUCUUUUCUUUUUCUUCUUCUUCUUCUUUCUUUUCUUUCUUUCUUUCCUUUUCCUUCCUUCUUCCCUGCGUCUGUCUUCGUGUGACUAGCGAGAGACAGCAGGUUCGCUGCGCGCCACCCAGCCUCGCCGCCACUCCACGCCGGCAGUCGCAUCACCUCCGUCGCCUCGCUGCUCCUCCGCGCGCCACUGCCAGCAGCUCCACUCGCUGCCAGAUUGUGCAGCGCCAGCUCCUUCUGCCCUCGAUCGUGCAGCGCCUCACCCAGCUCCUCACGCCAUUGCCACUGCCACUACUGCCGCUGCUCCCGGGCACCUCCGGCCAUC
rnacentral:lncRNA from 1 species